GAUGAACGCUGGCGGCGUGCCUAAUACAUGCAAGUCGAGCGAACAGACGAUGCUCUUGCUCCUCUCACGUUUGCGGCGGACGGGUGAGUAACGCGUGUAUAACCUACCUGUCAUACUGGUAUAACUUCGAGAAUCCGGAGCUAAUCCCGUAGAAUAUAUUGAACCGCGUGGUUCAUUAGUGAAUGACGGUUUUGCUGUCACUUAUAGAUGCAUCUCCGCCGCAUUAGCUAGUUGUUAAGUUAACGGCUUACCAAGGCGACGAUGCGUAGCCGAAGUGAGAGGGUGAUAGGCCACACGGGAACUGAGACACGGUCAAGACGCCUGCGGUAGGCAGCAGUAGGGAAUCUUCCGCAAUGGGCGAAAGCCUGACGGAGCAACGCCGAGUGAGUGAUGAAGGUCUCCGGAUCGUAAAAAUCUGUUAUUAGGGAAGAACAAAUGUGUAAGUAAAUAUGGACGUCUUGACGGUAACUAAUAAGAAAGCAACGGCUAACUACGUG
rnacentral:rRNA from 1 species